rnacentral:rRNA from 1 species
CCUACGGGAGGCUGCAGUAGGGAAUAUUGCUCAAUGGGGGAAACCCUGAAGCAGCAACGCCGCGUGGAGGAUGAAGGUUUUCGGAUUGUAAACUCCUUUUGUUAGAGGAGAUAAUGACGGUAUCUAACGAAUAAGCACCGGCUCAAUCCGUGCCAGCAGCCGCGGUAAUACGGAGGGUGCAAGCGUUACUCGGAAUCACUGGGCGUAAAGAGCGCGUAGGCGGGUUAGCAAGUCAGAGGUGAAAUCCUAUGGUGUAACCAUAGAACUGCAUUUGAAACUGUUCGUCUAGAGGAAGGUAGAGGGAAGUUGAAUUCUGGGGGGAGGGGGAAAAACCGUAGAGAUCAAGAGGAAUACUCAUUGCGAAGGCGACCGGCUAGAACAAAACUGACGCUGAUGCGCGAAAGCGUGGGGAGCAAACAGGAUUAGAUACCCUUGUAGUC